rnacentral:rRNA from 1 species
GAUGAACGCUGGCUACAGGCUUAGCACAUGCAAGUCGAGGGGAAACGACGGGGAAGCUUGCUUCCCCGGGCGUCGACCGGCGCACGGGUGAGUAACGCGUAUCCAACCUGCCUCUGACUGAGGGAUAACCCGUCGAAAGUCGGCCUAAUACCUCAUGGCAUCGUCUGCGGGCAUCCAACGACGAUUAAAGAUUUCAUCGGUCAGAGAUGGGGAUGCGUCUGAUUAGCUUGUUGGCGGGGUAACGGCCCACCAAGGCGACGAUCAGUAGGGGUUCUGAGAGGAAGGUCCCCCACAGUGGAACUGAGACACGGUCCAAACUCCUACGGGAGGCAGCAGUGAGGAAUAUUGGUCAAUGGGCGAGAGCCUGAACCAGCCAAGUAGCGUGCAGGAUGACGGCCCUAUGGGUUGUAAACUGCUUUUAUGCGGGGAUAAAGUGAGGGACGUGUCCUUCAUUGCAGGUACCGCAUGAAUAAGGACCGGCUAAUUCCGUG